UUGGAAGGGGACUGAGGCUGCAAGGC
rnacentral:piRNA from 1 species